rnacentral:lncRNA from 1 species
AUGUGGAGCAGAUCCCUUAAUUUCGUGAUCAUCUUCAUAGGAUGUGGGUCCUUAUACAACAAGGAGGGCAGGCCUGACAACUCCAGGCCCCUACAUCCUCACAUCACAGGCAUGUGCAGAACGCUCUACACUACAUACAGGAGCAGAGACCUCCACUCACUGACUAUAACCAUCUCAUGUGUGUGGAGCCCCAUAUGUGGAUCUGAGUACACUCCAUCAUUUCUGAGAUCAGUCGUAUAUGCAGAGCCUUCUACAGCAUGGAUAUUGGUGGAGGUCCUGACCGUCAUCACAUGGAUGGGGACCCCUUCCAACAUGCAGGCCUCCUACUCCACUGGGUGCAGUUAAGCAUCCCAUGGCAUUCCAUGCCCCCAGCUCCAAUUCUUAACAAUGAUAAUUGCCAGGAAGGAGGCUCAAGCCUGUUUAUUGAAGAUAAACUCAUUCAGAGUGAGCUGCUGCCAACUUUUCAUCAGAGAAGAACAAAACCAGUGACAGGUGGUGAUAAGGGUGUGGGGCCACUGUACUUGUAGACAGCAGCUUAGCACAAUGUGUGCCCCGUUCAAGUAUAGCAAGUGUGAGUGGGUGACCCAAAAAGGUCCAUCCCUGCAGAAGGAGCGCAACCCACAUGGCCCACAGCGCACCACACACCAGUUUGUACACACAGUCCUCAGGACGGUGGCAGGUGUUCACAAGGGUCACAUGGAAAAGCAGGCAGUGGAGAGGAACGGUGUGCCCUUGACCUCUCAGACACACAUUCUUGCAAAUGCAUAGGAAUUCUGAAGUUCAACUGACAGUGAGACUUAUUUCCUGGGCUGUGACUGAGAAGCAGACUUUUAUGUUCCUAACUUGGGCCCUUAUGAGCUACCUGAAUGUCUUAUGCAAGGGCCUAGGUAAAACACCAAGCAAUUUGAACUUCUGAGCAGAAAGCUCCAGUAGCACAUUAAGGGGUUCUGACUGGGCUCGGGAUUAAGCUCAGUGGCACCUCCCCUGCCUCCCAAGCAGAUGGUCCUGAGUCUAAUCCCUAGACCGACCACCCAGAGAAAAAAGAGGUUCUGUUUAAAUGUGAGGAUGGAAAACUGAACACCAGGUCAGGUGCGGAAUCUUUAAUUUACAGGACCAUGGGAGAAAGUUGGAGCUGGAUGUCAUGGUGCACACCUCUAAUCCCAACACUGAACAGGCUGACGCAGGAGGAGUUGGAGUUUGAUGUCAGCCCUCACAGCGAUUUGGCUGGUGUACCUGACAAAUAAACACUGUGUGCAUUCAAGGUCUACAGUCUGAGUUUGUACGUGUGACACUGUAAACUGAGUUCCCCAUCAAAGGAAUUAUCACAUCCAUCACCAUUUGAGGGUUACCAUUGGAGUGUACAGGUACUGGAGGGACACAAGCACUUCAAACCAUGUGGCUGUAAAGCCCAGGUAGAUGCUGAUGGCCUCCAUCCCUCUCCAUUCAUACUUCUCACCCUCACUUUAUAAGCACCCACAGGAACAGCUACACUGACAUGUCUCACACACACCUCACCUCAGACCUCUCCUCACUACCACGACUCCCAAUCAUCCUCCACAGUUCUCUUUGUCCUUCUCUUAGCCCAUGCACAAUGGGCUCCUU